rnacentral:rRNA from 1 species
CCUACGGGUUGCAGCAGUGGGGAAUAUUGGACAAUGGGGGGAACCCUGAUCCAGCCAUGCCGCGUGUGUGAAGAAGGCCUUAUGGUUGUAAAGCACUUUAAGCGAGGAGGAGGCUACUAGUAUUAAUACUACUGGAUAGUGGACGUUACUCGCAGAAUAAGCACCGGCUAACUCUGUGCCAGCAGCCGCGGUAAUACAGAGGGUGCGAGCGUUAAUCGGAUUUACUGGGCGUAAAGCGUGCGUAGGCGGCCAUUUAAGUCAAAUGUGAAAUCCCCGAGCUUAACUUGGGAAUUGCAUUCGAUACUGGAUGGCUAGAGUAUGGGAGAGGAUGGUAGAAUUCCAGGUGUAGCGGUGAAAUGCGUAGAGAUCUGGAGGAAUACCGAUGGCGAAGGCAGCCAUCUGGCCUAAUACUGACGCUGAGGUACGAAAGCAUGGGGAGCAAACAGGAUUAGAUACCCGUGUAGUC